rnacentral:lncRNA from 1 species
UGACCCUGACAUUGUUAGGCUUUUGCUGUUUCUUUGUUGGUUUUGUUUGUUUGUUUUUUUGUCACCCAAUCUUUUGCGACAGUACUCCAUUAUUUCUUGUAGGAUAUCAUUGUUAGGCUUAGUAGGUCUUUAGCUCCUGGAUGCAUAUGAGCACUCGAGGGUUGAGAGCAAUCUGUAAAUUUUGACAAGUACCUGCAGGCGUGUGCAUUCUGUUUACUGCAUAAGAGCAUCUUCAACAUAAAUGCAACGCGCGGCACGCUAAAUAAUUUUUACAGCGCUAAAAUAGUCAAUUUUUAGCACGCGGGAGGGCGCUUGCUUCAACAGGUGCUGCAAAAUAAGGUGCGGCGCUAUAGUUUCAGCAGACGCUGUAAAAUCCAACACACGCGAGUAAGCUGUACUACGACGCAACACAUACGAACAACGAAUAUGUCUAUGCCUAACCGGUUAGGCGCACAACUCCAAUCCCUGUCGUUGCUGCUUCAUGUGGAUGUGCAUGCGCCCUUGCAUGUGCAUGCUGCUACAUGCGGGCGUGUGCAUUCUGUU